rnacentral:rRNA from 1 species
GACGGAGGAUGCAAGCGUUAUCCGGAAUGAUUGGGCGUAAAGCGUCCGCAGGUGGCCGUUCAAGUCUGCUGUCAAAGACCGGGGCUUAACUUCGGAAAGGCAGUGGAAACUGAACAGCUAGAGUAUGGUAGGGGCAGAGGGAAUUCCUGGUGUAGCGGUGAAAUGCGUAGAUAUCGGAAGGAACACCUGUGGCGAAAGCGGCUCACUGGACCACAACUGACGCUGAUGCACGAAAGCUAGGGGAGCAAACAGG